rnacentral:rRNA from 1 species
CUGUAAGCCUGCGAAGGUGUGCUGUGAGGCAUGCUGGAGGUAUCAGAAGUGCGAAUGCUGACAUAAGUAACGAUAAAGCGGGUGAAAAGCCCGCUCGCCGGAAGACCAAGGGUUCCUGUCCAACGUUAAUCGGGGCAGGGUGAGUCGACCCCUAAGGCGAGGCCGAAAGGCGUAGUCGAUGGGAAACAGGUUAAUAUUCCUGUACUUGGUGUUACUGCAAAGGGGGGACGGAGAAGGCUAUGUUGGCCGGGCGACGGUUGUCCCGGUUUAAGCGUGUAGGCUGGUUUUCCAGGCAAAUCCGGAAAAUCAAGGCUGAGGCGUGAUGACGAGGCACUACGGUGCUGAAGCAACAAAUGCCCUGCUUCCAGGAAAAGCCUCUAAGCAUCAGGUAACAUCAAAUCGUACCCCAAACCGACACAGGUGGUCAGGUAGAGAAUACCAAGGCGCUUGAGAGAACUCGGGUGAAGGAACUAGGCAAAAUGGUGCCGUAACUUCGGGAGAAGGCACGCUGAUAUGUAGGUGAGGUCCCUCGCGGAUGGAGCUGAAAUCAGUCGAAGAUACCAGCUGGCUGCAACUGUUUAUUAAAAACACAGCACUGUGCAAACACGAAAGUGGACGUAUACGGUGUGACGCCUGCCCGGUGCCGGAAGGUUAAUUGAUGGGGUUAGCGCAAGCGAAGCUUGAUCGAAGCCCCGGUAAACGGCGGCCGUAACAAUAACGGUCCUAAGGUAGCGAAAUUCCCUGUCGGGUAAGUUCCGACCUGCACGAAUGGCGUAAUGAUGGCCAGGCUGUCUCCACCCGAGACUCAGUGAAAUUGAACUCGCUGUGAAGAUGCAGUGUACCCGCGGCAAGACGGAAAGACCCCGUGAACCUUUACUAUAGCUUGACACUGAACAUUGAGCCUUGAUGUGUAGGAUAGGUGGGAGGCUUUGAAGUGUGGACGCCAGUCUGCAUGGAGCCGACCUUGAAAUACCACCCUUUAAUGUUUGAUGUUCUAACGUUGACCCGUAAUCCGGGUUGCGGACAGUGUCUGGUGGGUAGUUUGACUGGGGCGGUCUCCUCCUAAAGAGUAACGGAGGAGCACGAAGGUUGGCUAAUCCUGGUCGGACAUCAGGAGGUUAGUGCAAUGGCAUAAGCCAGCUUGACUGCGAGCGUGACGGCGCGAGCAGGUGCGAAAGCAGGUCAUAGUGAUCCGGUGGUUCUGAAUGGAAGGGCCAUCGCUCAACGGAUAAAAGGUACUCCGGGGAUAACAGGCUGAUACCGCCCAAGAGUUCAUAUCGACGGCGGUGUUUGGCACCUCGAUGUCGGCUCAUCACAUCCUGGGGCUGAAGUAGGUCCCAAGGGUAUGGCUGUUCGCCAUUUAAAGUGGUACGCGAGCUGGGUUUAGAACGUCGUGAGACAGUUCGGUCCCUAUCUGCCGUGGGCGCUGGAGAGCUGAGGGGGGCUGCUCCUAGUACGAGAGGACCGGAGUGGACGCAUCACUGGUGUUCGGGUUGUCAUGCCAAUGGCACUGCCCGGUAGCUAAAUGCGGAAGAGAUAAGUGCUGAAAGCAUCUAAGCACGAAACUUGCCCCGAGAUGAGUUCUCCCUGACCCUUUAAGGGUCCUGAAGGAACGUUGAAGACGACGACGUUGAUAGGCCGGGUGUGUAAGCGCAGCGAUGCGUUGAGCUAACCGGUACUAAUGAACCGU